rnacentral:rRNA from 1 species
ACCCCAGGUCAGGCGGGAUUACCCGCUGAGUUUAAGGAUAUCAAUAAGCGGAGGAAAACAAACUUACAAGGAUUCCCCUAGUAACGGUGAGUGAACAGGGAACAACCCAGCCUUAGAAUCGGGCGGCUCUGUUAUCCAAAUUGUAGUAUAGAGAAGCGUCCUCAGCAGCGGACCGGGCCCAAGUGCACUGGAAGGGGGCGUCGGAGAAGGUGAGAGCCCCGUCGUGCCCGGACCCUGUCGCACCACGAGGCGCCGUGUACGAGUCAGGUUGUUUGGAAAUGCAGCCCAAAUCAGGCAGUUAAUUCCGUCCAAGGCUAAAUACUGGCGAGAGACAGAUAGCGAACAAGUACCGUGAGGGAGAGAUGAAAAGGACUUUGAAAAGAGAGUCAAAGAGUGCUUGAAAUUGUCAGGAGGGAAGCAAAUGGGGGCCGUCUAUGCGCCCCGGUGAGAUGUGGAACGGUGACGAGCUUGUCCGCCGAUCGACUCUGGGUGUGGACCAGCGUGGAUUGGGGGGGGUGGCCAAAGACCGGGCUCUCGAUACGCUUAUGGAACGCCGUCUCCCGGAUUCUGGAAGGCAGCGCGUGCCUCCAAUGUGCUUCGGUAUCUGUGCGCUCCGGACGCUGGCUUGUGGGCUCCCCAUUCGACCUGUCUUAAAACACAGACCAAGGAGUCUGACAUGUGUGCGAGUAAACAGGCUAGUAAACCCGUAAGGACUAAGGAAGUUUAUUGUUGGGAUCCCCUGAGGGGUGCAACGCCGACCGACCUUGAUCUUCUGAGAAGGGUUCGAGUGUGAGCAUACCUGUCGGGACCCAAAUGAUGGUGAACUAUGCCUGAGCGGGCGAAGCCAGAGGAAACUCUGGUGGAGACCCCCAGUGAUACUGACAUGCAAAUCGUUAGUAUAACAUGGGUAUAGGGGAAAAAGACUAAUCGAACCGUCUACUAGCUGGUUCCCUCCGAAGUUUCCCUCAGAAUAGCUGGAGCUCGCGUGCAAGCUCACGUGCAAGUUCUAUCUGGUAAUGCCCUCGACCUAUUCUCAAACUUUAUAUGGGUUGGACGGCGUGGCAACUUUGUUGAGCCAUGCCACGGAAUCAAGAUCUCCAAGUGGGCCAUUUUUUGUAAGCAGAACUGGCGAUGCGGGAUGAACCGGAAGCCGGGUUAUGGUGCCAAACUGCGCGCUAACCUAGAUUCCACAAAGGAUGUUGGUUGAUUAAGACAGCAAGACGGUGGUCAUGGAAGUCAAAAUUUACUAAGGAAUGUGUAACAACUCACCUGCCGAAUCAGCUAGCCCCGAAAAUGGAUGGCUCUUAAGCGCGCAACCUACACUCGGCCGUCAGGGCAGGCACCAGGCCCCGAUGAGUAAGAGGGUGCGGCGGGUCGGCCAUCCUCGGGCGUGGCAUGCCAUCAUAGCCCUUGGACAGGACACACAAUCAGACGACGUCGAGCGUGGCAUGCCAUCAUCUCCUUUGGACUAGCUGACACGGUCAGACGACAUCGCGCGUCGCAUGCUAUCAUCGCCUUUGGACUAGCUGACACGGUCGGACGACGUGGGGUGUGGCAUGCCAUCUUCGCCCUUGGGCAGCAUAGAUGGUCGAACGGCGUCAGGCGUGGCUUGCCAUCAUCGCCCUUGGACAGCACAGAUGGUCGGGAAUCGUCGGGCGUGGCAUGCCAUCAUAGCCCUUGGACAGCAUAAACGGUCGACCGUCGUCAGACGUGCCUAAACACAAUGGUCAGCGGUGGCCUGCCUGCAUCGGUCGUGGCUUGCAUGACAUUGUUCGAGUUCUAAACGAAACAUGCAGAUAUUCAUGCCGUACAUAAAUCAAAGGAUUUUGAAACAACCUCCAUGCAUAACAAACAUAUUCGUCUAAUUUCCAUUAUCUAUUCUCUAAUGUUUCCGCCAAAUGUGGCUCUUUGCAUCAUUUUCAUUACUUUUACGGUUCGUACGAUAUUGAAACAUCUUUUAUUUGUGUAAAUAGAUAUCUUAUCAUUAAUUUUACAUGUUUAGAAGUUUUUCGAGCAUUUCCAUAUUUUUUCGAAUAUUAAUCAUUAUUUUAUAAUUUAUUUUUACGCUUUCUAAUUUUUUACGUCUCCUUUUAAAAAUUAAAUUUUUUAUUUUAAGGUUCCCAUAUUUAUUUGUAAAUUUUCGGAGUUGAUUUCAUAUUUUUUCGAUAUUUUCCCUACUUUUUUUAAUUUAUUAUUAAUUUUUUGGAAUUUUUGAAAAAAAUAAAAAUUAAAAAAAUGUUGAAAAAUAUUUUUUUAUAUAGAUUAAAGUCAUUUGUGAAAGCUGAUGUGUGUUUGUACCUUAGAACGUGCAUAUUUGGGUUGUACAUUUCCAUUAUGAUUCUCUGGAAAAUCCAUGUCUACUCCUGUCACAUGGGUAAAACUUUUUAAAGCAUAUAUAAGGGGGUAGAGGUGUAGGAGGCAUACUGAGGCGCAGACAGGCAUACGACAUAGGCGUCCCGUGGGCUUAGUAGGCGUGUUGCGUGGGCACUUGAUGGCAUGCAUGGCUUGUCCUUGCUACGUCAUUCGGCGUUUACAAAAAUACGUAGCCGACAUCGACGGGUUGAGUGAGGUAAAGGAAGGCGAACGUCAAGGGCGUCCUAUGGGCUUAGUAGGCGUGCUGCGUGGGAGCUUAAUGGCAUGCAUGGCUCGUCCGUGCUUUACCAUUGGGCAUCUACAAAGACAUGCAAGUGACGUUUGCGCGGCGGUUGAGGCCAAGACAGGUGGACGUCAAGGGCGUCCUGUGGGAUUAGUAGGCGUGCUGCGUGGGCGCUUGAUGGCAUGCAUAGCUCGUCCGUGCUAUGCCGUUGGGCUUUUACAAAAACAUGCCCGCGACGUAUGCGGGGCAUUUGAGGUGGUGGCAGGCCGACGUCAUGGGCGUCCUAUGGGCUUAGUAGGCGUGCUGCGUGGGCGCUUGACAUCAUGCAUGGCUUGUCCUUGCUACGCCGUUGGGUGUCAACAAAAACAUGCCAGCGACAUCUGCGGGGCAACUGAGGCAAAAGCAAGCGGGCGUCAAGCGUGUUCCAUGGGCUUAGAGCGCGUUAU